CAACAUUUUACCCCCUCAUAUAAUAAUGGGAAUAUGGCCCAUGAGUCUCUACCCGGGAACCGUAAAUACUCGGACUAUGAGGGAAAGCUUC
rnacentral:ncRNA from 1 species